rnacentral:lncRNA from 1 species
GCCCAGGGCUGGGAUUGCUCAGCUGAGAAUGUUCUGGAAGGUUUGGAAGACCUCAGUGCUCCAGGCCAGCAGGGGGUGGGGGAUCAGGGAUGGGAGGGUCUCUCCGGAACCUGAUUUAGAAGCUUAGAAGCAUCCUGCUUACCCAGAGCAACUCCCCUCCCCUCCCAGCUGUGCCCCGCCCAGAUCCCCAGAGGAGCCUGGGCCUGCUGUCCUAGGGGAUAAGAAGGGCUCUGCGUGGAGGACGUUGGUCCUGCUGAGGCUUCCAGAGGUUGGCAAUUUUCUGUAGUUUGGAUACUCUACAAAGUUCCCCAGGAUGAAGCCCAGGAGUGGGAGCUGAGCUCACCGUGGGCUCUGAGCCAGAGAGAGGAGACACUAGGAGAAGGACCCCCCCCGAAGGCUGCAGAAAGGUUCCAGGCCUCCAUGUUGAUGGCAGAAGUGACGAGGCAGCUCACCCUCCGCCCUGCUGAUUUCUGUGCACAUUUGGGACGACGUUUUCAACAGCUCCAGCGCUGGAGCCAAGAGACAGUUGGCCUCAGGUUUCCACCUCAGGACCCAAACUCACCUCCUCAGCCCGAGACUCGCCCAGAACCUCAUCAGGAGACCACCUAACGGAAGGAUGAGAAUAGUUGGAGGAUUUUCUGAAGUCUUUCUCUUGCCUCAUAGUUUAUUUCCUUGCAGAAUCCAGCCCUUCAGAUGCAGCUGAUGUCUUAGCCACCACACACAGCAACCUUUUCUGUCUUCACAGUUGUGUCUCUGAAGCAACUUCCAACUAAAUAAAAGCAGC